rnacentral:rRNA from 1 species
CUAACUGCGUGCGAGGAGCCGGGGGAAUAUGGGGGGGGGAUGCGUUGUGCGGGUUUACUGGGGGUAAAGGUCGCGUAGGCGGCGAGGUCAAGUCAGUUGUGAAAUCUCCGGGCUUAAGUCGGAACGGUAAACUGAGACUGCGCGGCUAGAGUGCGGAAGGGGCAACUGGAAUUCUCGGUGUAGCGGUGAAAUGCGUAGAUAUCGAGAGGAACACCUGCGGCGAAGGCGGGUUGCUGGGCCGACACUGACGCUGAUGCGCGAAAGCCAGGGGAGCGAACGGGAUUAGAUACCCCGGUAGUC